CCUCAGCAUAUCAUUACUCACAUCUUUAUACUGAGGCUAGAGGUGUUUCAGAGGUGGUUGACAUGAAUUAGAAUUUCUAGAAGAGUAGGAUCCACACUGACACCUCCCACCUAAUGACUUGGGAGGGUUUAAGCCAAAAGAAGGUUGCAAACACUCAGUUUGUCUUUCAGUCAUCGCAACAACAAACUCAUCAUCUUAUGUUGAUUGAACUUUCUUCCACAUAAGCAAACACAAAAUGAUCAUCUUACUCAUCUGCAUUACUUUAAACUCCAUUCAGGUGUCAGGUUCUUCUCUCAGUGACCAAGUCUACCAGACUCCACCCGACAUGUACAACAAACCUGGAGAAACAGUCAAUAUAAACUGUUUACACAGGAUUCAGAACUACAACCAAAUCCUCUGGUACAAACAAACAAACAGACAACUGCAGCUCCUGGGAUACCUGUUUGGAGGCAUUGGAAAGCCAGAGACUGGAGUGGAUGUAAAGAUAGAAGGAAGUGCAGAAAAAGAUCGGACCUGCACGUUAAUAAUUGAAAAAUUCAACCUGAACAGCAGUGCAGUGUACUUCUGUGCUGCUAGUUAACACAGUGCUACACAUCACUGCUCCUCAGUACAAAAACCUCCCAUCACAGUGUUUUCAUGUCUGUACUACAGCUCACAGCCUCUUGCAGCUGUAUUCCUACCCUCCAGUAGGUGGUGCUAUGUCUUUAAUCAGACACUGACUCUGAGCCAAGGCCACAUAGUUUCUAUGACAGUUAAGAGAAGGAGGACGCACGAUGACACCACCCAUUUAAUGCUUUUGUGUGCGUUUGCCAAUAGGAGGCUUUACUCAAGGAGGACGGUGGAAAUAGUAUAACUGCUGAAACACUGUGGAUUUCUUUCAUAUCGACAAUAAACUUACCAACAAACAAAAUAACCAAACAGAAAAGACAACAUGAUCGUUCUAUUCCUAAACAUUCAUUUUAACACCUUUCUUGUUGCAGGUUCCUCUCUCAGUGACCAAGUCUACCAGAAUCCACUCGACAUGUACAACAACCAAGAAGAAAGAGCCAAAAUAAAGUGUUCACACAGUAUUGACACCUAUAAUCAAAUCCUCUGGUACAAGCAAAUGAAGGAUGGACAACUGCAGCUCCUGGCAUACAUGUUAGGAAACACUGGAUAUCCAGAGACUGGAGUGGAUGUGAAGAUUGAAGGAAGCGCAAAUAAAGACCAGAC